AAACUUAAAGGAAUUGACGGAAAGGCACCACCAGGCGUGGAGCUUGCGGCUCAAUUUGACUCAACACGGGAAAUCUCACCAGACCCCUGCUAACACUCCCCUGCUAACGUACCUUAGUGUUUUUCUAGACGGUGUGAUUCGGAGCAAGAGUCCAUGGGCGUAAGCCCCGGUCUCGGACGAUGUCCACUGAUCCUUGGUGCGUUGGUGUUCCGCGUGCCAUCGGGGAGUCGAGUGUUCGCAUUCUUCGCCUCUGUGGAUUUCUCGGUUCAUUGACAAAGCGCCUCGGAGUACGUUUCUUCUUAGAGGGAUUGACGACUUAUAAGUCGUAAGAAACAGGGAGCCAUAACAGGUCUGUGAUGCCCUUAG
rnacentral:rRNA from 1 species